GAUGAAGAACGUAGCGAAAUGCGAUAAGUAAUGUGAAUUGCAGAAUUCAGUGAAUCAUCGAAUCUUUGAACGCACAUUGCGCCCGCCAGUAUUCUGGCGGGCAUGCCUGUUCGAGCGUCAUUACAACCCUCAGGCCCCCGGGCCUGGCGUUGGGGAUCGGCGGAAGCCCCCUGUGGGCACACGCCGUCCCUCAAAUACAGUGGCGGUCCCGCCGCAGCUUCCAUUGCGUAGUAGCUAACACCUCGCAACUGGAGAGCGGCGCGGCCAUGCCGUAAAACACCCAACUUCUGAAUGUGGACCUCGAAUCAGGUAGGAAUACCCGCUGAACUUAAGCAUAUCAAUAAGCGGAGGA
rnacentral:misc_RNA from 1 species